rnacentral:tRNA from 1 species
GGGGCGGCGCCGGAGCAGGAGAGUCGGACUUGCCUGUAAAGCAAGCGCUUAACGCUGAGUGGGUUCGAAUCCCACCCGCCCCA